rnacentral:rRNA from 1 species
CCCUGUACUAGGGUUGGUGCAAGACCAUCCCUUUUAUAUACUUGCCUAUAUUGUGGCAAUAUUUAUAUCUGUAUUUUUAGUAGAUUCUAUUUUACUAGUGAUUACAAUGUUGCAUAUUAAUUAUACAAUUCGUCGGAUAGGCCCGUUCUCUAAGGUGGAAACACCGCACACCGUGCAUCAAAACUCAAUGAACUAAAAGAUUUUAUUAAUUGAAGGAAAAGAAACCAACCGGGAUUGCGCUAGUAGUACAGAGCGAAGGCGCAAAAGCUUAAAUAUAUUUUUUGUUUACAGUCGAACUUAAGUGGAAUCCGGACCAGAGAAAGUUAUAGUCUUGUAGGCUGUAAACAAAAAAACAAGUGCUGUAAUUUUAAAGUCAUGUUUAAUUACAGCGCAUUUUAGUAUUUACUCCAAUCUAUGAGUAAAUAAGUAAGUUAGUGGUUUUACACUGCUAAUUAUUGACGGAUACCACUCUGUUGGCUAAAUACUCUAUGUAGAUCGAUAGUGAAUCAGUACUGUAAAGGAAUUAGGAAACAAGAAUGCCAUUGCUUCUCUGAAUACAAGUCCCGAAACAGGUUGCUUAUAAUGACUUUCAGUUUGGCCGUAAUAAUGUUAAAUAGAAAGGUUCCUUUUGAAUCAUGAGCUGAUGACUUUGUGUUAGUUUAAGGCAUAUUAUUAAUUGUUUAGCUGUAUUGCAGACUUUGCUUGCUAUGAAAGUCUGCAAUACAGUAAAUAGAAAUAAUUAGUAUAAGUAGCUUAAUUUAUUAAAAGUAAGCUUAUUAUGAAAAUAUUCAUAAAAAACUAACACAAGACGCGAAACGAAGUGAGCUUAAGUAGACCAGGGGGAAGGUUGCCGGAAGGUAGUUGGACGCCCGAAGUGGUAUGCGUUGCAACGCAUUCAUAUGAGUUUAUUUAAGUGGCGAAAUACCAAUCGAACUUCGAAAUAUCUCGUUUUUUGCGAAACCUUUUUAGGAAGGGGGCCUGCAGAAUGAAUGCUAACUAGGUAGAGCGCUGUAAAACUGAUGGGAAGGAAACUUUUACUGAGGUGUUGCAAACCACGAAUUAGAGGCAUUAUGCCAGGUACUCAGUCAGUGCGGGACAAGCUGCAUUUGACAAGAAGGAAACAGCCUAGACUAUUAAUUAAGGCCCGUAAAUAGCGCUAAGUGAGAAAGUAAUUAACUUCACAAAAAUUAGUAGGACGUUUGAUUAGCAGCAUCUAUCGUUUAAAGAAAGCGUAAUAGCUCACUACUAUAGUUUAGUUGUUGCGAAAAUUUAACCGGACUAAGCGCUAUGCCGAAAUUAUAGCUAACUGGACUGUUUUGCCCCCGUAAAGGGCAAAACAGUCCAGUUAGAGUAGCAAAACGAACCAUGUUGACAAAAUUAUGUCGGUAAGACAUAAUGAAAAUAUUGGUUGCGAAUAUAUCAGCUAGAGUAACAUAACAAUUGAGAUGUUUAAUUAACACAGCUUUGUAUUACUGUUUCUCUCCUUUGCUUUUGCCCGAACUUCGCGGGGCAAAGUUCGGGCAAAAGAACAAUUGAUCGCUUGUAAUAUAAAACUGUAAUACUUCAAAACAGUAUCUCAAUGAUCGGAAAUCCUGGGUUUUCUACACAACUAUAAAAGAUGUAGUUAAAAAUACGGUCCCUCAGUAAUAUAAAGGUUACGAUGGGUACUUGCUAUGUCCAACAAAACCUUGUUUGUAGGUCUGUUGCAGGAAACAAUAGUAAGUUGUAUGCGCAUAAACAUAUUUGUUUUUUACGUGUAUUACCAAUACCGUACUAAAACUGACUCUGGUGGAUUAGUAGAUUUUACUAAGAUUUGGUUAUAAUCGCUCGUAAGGAACUCGGCAAAUUGCGCUGGUACUUUCGAAAACAGCGGUCUGAAAUUGAUGUUUUAGAUCUCAGAUAAGAAAACUGGGUGACAGUUUACUAAAAACUUAGCGUCCUGCCAAUUUGAAACAAGACGUAUAGGAUGUGACGUUUGCUAACGGCCACUAAUUUAAGUAAUCUGUUGUAAAAGAUAGAUAAACAAGAUGUGGUGACGAGCGGCCGUAACUAUAACGGUCAUAAAGUAGCGAAAUUCCUAGGCAUUUAAUUGGUGUCCUGCAUGAAUAACGUAACAACCUGGUUGCUGUCUCGCGAGCGAAAACCGUGAAAUAAGAAUAUCGGUUAAAAUACCGAUUAGGCUGUCUUAGACGAUAAGACCCUGUGAAGCUUUACUGUAACUUAACAUUGCGAUCGGUUUUUUAUCUUACAGUUAGGCGGGAGGCGAUGCCAACAAUGGAAAACCGCUAGAUAAUAAAUUGGUCGCUUUUAUAUAAGACUACUUUUUAAUCCAUAAGAUAUUUAUAUGUGGCGUUUCAUAAAAUAUCUUCUAUGCAAAUAGAGCCCGUUUUAUGUUACUAACCCCUAUAUAAAGCACUUUAAUUAACCAAGAUCGAAGACAGUGUUAGGUGGGCAGUUUACUUGGGGCGAGGUCUGGCUAAAAGGUAACGCCAGAGAGCAAAAGGUAUGCUCAGUAUUGUCGGAAACAAUAUGUAGAGCGUAAUAGUAUAAGCAUGCCUGAUUAUAAGACUGACCAGUCGAAUAAAGACGAAAGUCUGCUAUAGUGACCCUCACACGCUAUGUGGAAAGGUGUGAGAUCAACGAAUCAAAGUUACUCCAGGGAUAACAGGGUAGUCCUGGCUUAUAGUUCUUAUAGACGCCAGGGUUCGCCACCUUAAUUAACAUUGGGGCUCUUAUCUAGGAAACUAGAUUUGGAAUGCAUUUGGCUAUAUGCUGGAACCUCCGUUUGCAUUAAAUGUAACAAAGAACAUUAUUUUUAAUAGCAAUGAAAAUAUUGCGUGGCUUGCUUUUUUAUAAAAUAAAAAGUUUGUUGAAACAUGCAAUUGCGGACAAUCAGCAGGGAAGUUCAAGCAACUGAAAUUGUUUUGUUGCGUAACCCCUCAACGACCACACGCCGAACACCCUUCUAGGGUGAUGAUAUGGUCUACUCUUACAAGAAAUUGUAAGUCAAUUCUAAUUAUAAAAAGGAUUGAUAUACACAACUACAUAAAUAUAGACAAAUUAUGACUAAUAAAAACAAUUACCAACAUU